GAUGAACGCUAGCGAUAGGCUUAACACAUGCAAGUCGAGGGGCAGCAUGGUCUUAGCUUGCUAAGACUGAUGGCGACCGGCGCACGGGUGCGUAACGCGUAUGCAACUUGCCUCACAGAGGGGGAUAACCCGUCGAAAGACGGACUAAUACCGCGUACACUCUAUUUUGGGCAUCCAAGGUAGAGGAAAUGAAAUUCGCUGUGAGAUAGGCAUGCGUCCCAUUAGCUAGUUGGUGAGGUAACGGCUCACCAAGGCGACGAUGGGUAGGGGAACUGAGAGGUUGAACCCCCAGACUGGUACUGAGACACGGACCAGACUCCUACGGGAGGCAGCAGUGAGGAAUAUUGGUCAAUGGGCGAGGGCCUGAACCAGCCAAGUCGCGUGAAGGAUGACUGUCUUAUGGAUUGUAAACUUCUUUUGUAGGGGAAUAAAGAGGGGCACGAGUGCCCCAGUGAAUGUACCCUACGAAUAAGCAUCGGCUAACUCCGUG
rnacentral:rRNA from 1 species